GUAUAUUGGACAACAGUGCAGACCUUUCCUUCAGGCCACGAUGCCAGAGGAAAUCAUCAGAGCAGGUUAACCUGCUGCAAUACUCUGAUAUAGUGAAAGGAGCGGAGAACUUAGUCUUUACAUACAGGAUGUGCAGACCAAGUUCUUCCUCCUCUACUCCAGGAUUAGGAUGGACAGGCAGGCCAACUCCAUUGGUUGUGGAGUUCAAUUAUUUGUCCCUUGUUAGUCUUGGUGAGUGUAUUACGGUGUGCCUAAAAUAUGAAAACCAUCAAGAUUGGGAAUGAGCUAAAAUUCACUGAG